rnacentral:rRNA from 1 species
GACGUAGGGUGCGAGCGUUGUCCGGAUUUACUGGGCGUAAAGAGCGCGUAGGCGGCUCGUUAAGUGUGAAGCUAAAUCUCCAGGGCUCAACCCGGAAACUAUUUCGCAUGCUGGCGAGCUUGAGGAAUGCAGAGGUGAAUGGAAUUCCUGGUGUAGCGGUGAAAUGCGUUGAUAUCAGGAGGAACACCCAUGGCGAAGGCAGUUCACUGGGCAUUAUCUGACGCUGAGGCGCGAAAGCGUGGGUAGCAAACAGGAUUAGAUACCCUGGUAGUCCACGCCCUAAACGAUGGAUACUAGGCGUAAGAGGUAUCGACCCCUCUUGUGCCGCAGCUAACGCACUAAGUAUCCCGCCUGGGGAGUACGGCCGCAAGGUUGAAACUCAAAU